CCUACGGGGGGCAGCAGUCGAGAAUCAUUCACAAUGGGGGAAACCCUGAUGGUGCGACGCCGCGUGGGGGAAUGAAGGUCUUCGGAUUGUAAACCCCUGUCAUGUGGGAGCAAAUUAAAAAGAUAGUACCACAAGAGGAAGAGACGGCUAACUCUGUGCCAGCAGCCGCGGUAAUACAGAGGUCUCAAGCGUUGUUCGGAAUCACUGGGCGUAAAGCGUGCGUAGGCUGUUUCGUAAGUCGUGUGUGAAAGGCGCGGGCUCAACCCGCGGACGGCACAUGAUACUGCGAGACUAGAGUAAGGGAGGGGGAACCGGAAUUCUCGGUGUAGCAGUGAAAUGCGUAGAUAUCGAGAGGAACACUCGGGGCGAAGGCGGGUUCCUGGACAUUAACUGACGCUGAGGCACGAAGGCCAGGGGAGCGAAAGGGAUUAGAUACCCUAGUAGUC
rnacentral:rRNA from 1 species